UACGUAGGGGGCUAGCGUUGCUCGGAAUUACUGGGCGUAAAGGGCGCGUAGGCGGAUAUUUACGUUAGAGGUGAAAGCCCGGGGCUCAACCCUGGAAUAGCCUUUAAUACUGGAUAUCUUGAGUUCGGGAGAGGUGAGUGGAACUCCGAGUGUAGAGGUGAAAUUCGUAGAUAUUCGGAAGAACACCAGUGGCGAAGGCGACUCACUGGCCCGAUACUGACGCUGAGGCGCGAAAGCGUGGGGAGCAAACAGG
rnacentral:rRNA from 1 species